UACGUAGGGUGCAAGCGUUGUCCGGAAUUAUUGGGCGUAAAGAGCUCGUAGGCGGUCUGUCGCGUCGGCUGUGAAAACCCGGGGCUCAACCCCGGGCCUGCAGUCGAUACGGGCAGACUAGAGUGCGGUAGGGGAGACUGGAAUUCCUGGUGUAGCGGUGAAAUGCGCAGAUAUCAGGAGGAACACCGGUGGCGAAGGCGGGUCUCUGGGCCGUAACUGACGCUGAGGAGCGAAAGCGUGGGGAGCGAACAGGAUUGAGA
rnacentral:rRNA from 1 species